AGGAUCCCCUAGUAACUGCGAGUGAACCGGGAAAAGCUCAAAUUUUGAAUCUGGCGGUCUUUUAGGCCGUCCGAGUUGUAAUCUAGAGAAGUGUUUUCCGCGCUGGACCGUGUAUAAGUUUCCUGGAAUGGAACGUCGUAGAGGGUGAGAAUCCCGUCUUUGACACGGACUACCAGGGCUAUGUGAUGCGCUCUCGACGAGUCGAGUUGUUUGGGAAUGCAGCUCAAAUUGGGUGGUAAAUUCCAUCUAAAGCUAAAUACAGGCGAGAGACCGAUAGCGAACAAGUACCGUGAGGGAAAGAUGAAAAGAACUUUGGAAAGAGAGUUAAACAGUACGUGAAAUUGCUGAAAGGGAAACGCUUGAUGUCAGUCGCGUUUGCCGGGGAUCAGCCUUGCUUAACGGCUCGGCGUACUUCCUGGUGGACGGGUCAGCAUCAGUUUUGAUCGUCGGAAAAUGGCUAGGAGGAAUGUGGCAUUCUUUCGGGAGUGUGUUAUAGACUCUAGUCGAAUACGAUGGUUGGGACUGAGGAACUCAGCACGACCUUAGGGUUCGGGACUUCGGUCUACGUUUGCGUGCUUAGGAUGCUGGCAUAAUGGCCUUAAGCGACCCGUCUUGAAACACGGACCAAGGAGUCUAACG
rnacentral:rRNA from 1 species